rnacentral:lncRNA from 1 species
UCCCUCCCUUCCUCCCUCUCUCCCUCUCUCUUUCCUUCUUUCUUUCCUUCUUUCUUUCUUUCUUUCUUUCUUUCUUUCUUUCUUUCUUUCUUUCUUUCUUUCUUUCUUUCUUUCUUUCUUUCUUGAUCUCUUUCUCUCUCUCUCUCUCUCUCUCUCUCUCUCUCUCUCUCUCUCUCUCUCUCUCUCUCUCUCUGUCUGUCUUUUUCUGUCUGUCUCUCUCUCUUUUUUUUUUCUGUCUCUCGUUAGUUUGAUAACUGAGUGGAGGAUGUCCUGGAGUGGGGAGAGACUUGAGGCAGAGAGACAAUCAUUAGGUUAUUGUAAUAGUCCAGGUGUGAGAUGAGAAAUUGCACCAAAGUGGUGGUACUAUCUGAUGGGAGGAGGUGCAUAUAAGAU